rnacentral:rRNA from 1 species
GACGAACGCUGGCGGCGUGCUUAACACAUGCAAGUCGAGCGAGAAACCUUCGGGUUUCUAGCGGCGGACGGGUGAGUAACACGUGGGUAACCUGCCUCAAAGAGGGGGAUAGCCUUCCGAAAGGAAGAUUAAUACCGCAUAAUAUUACAGUUUCGCAUGAAGCAGUAAUUAAAGGAGUAAUCCGCUUUGAGAUGGACCCGCGGCGCAUUAGCUCGUUGGAGAGGUAACGGCUCACCAAGGCAACGAUGCGUAGCCGACCUGAGAGGGUGAUCGGCCACAUUGGAACUGAGACACGGUCCAGACUCCUACGGGAGGCAGCAGUGGGGAAUAUUGCACAAUGGGCGAAAGCCUGAUGCAGCAACGCCGCGUGAGUGAUGAAGGUCUUCGGAUUGUAAAGCUCUGUCUUUUGGGACGAUAAUGACGGUACCAAAGGAGGAAGCCACGGCUAACUACGUGCCAGCCGCCGCGGUAA